CGUGCUACCAAGUUGUUUUCGAUGAUGCGGCUUCCAAAUCGACGAUCGGCUCCGUUAAACUUGAUCUACACUAUUGAAAGUAUUUGGAAACUAAAUUUCAGAUUUUUUCGAUAUCAUUUGACUAGUGAUCAAAAGAUCUCAAAGUUGAUAAUUUUAUGGGCCGAUGUGGUGUGUUUGAGAGUUUAACGGUGUAAAACAAUCCAAAUCCGAUGAAAAUUUUAUAGAAAAUUCUUUUUACUAUUUAGAGUGAGAUCAGUAUAUCUGAUCUUAAAUUUAAAUCUUUUAUCAUCAUUUUUAUGAGAUUUUUAUUUUCAGCCGUUCAAUUUUAAACUACUUGUUUGAUAGGUAAAUGAUAUCGAAAAAUUAUGAAAUUUAGUUUCUAAAUACUUUUAAUAGUGUAGAUCAAGUCUAACGGAGCCGAUCGUCGAUUUGGAAGCCGCAUCAUCGAAAACAACUUGGUAGCACGGAGUGCUGCGUACUACCGAUAGUAUAGCAGCCUAGCUAUUGGUGCUAUUAGGUUUUCGGCCCUUCGAUGAAGGCAUGUGUGAUUAGGAUGAUAGUAGUCUCCUAAGGUUAAGUAGGUGGGUGGUUGAAUAUAUGAUAUAACAGGUGAAAAUGAUUAAAGGAAUAGAUCUAACGACGGAAAACUUAAUAGCGAGAAGUGCUUGGUGCUAUUAAUAACAUAGUAGCCAGAUUCUCUCUCUCUCUCCCUAUAUAUAUAUAUAUAUAUAUAGGCUGGGGCUACUAUACUUAUAUGAAUAUACAGCCCUUUGUACUCAUAAAUUUUCAGCCGUUCAGAUGAAAAAAUAUGCGGUUAUGAUGAAAGUGGUUACGGUUAGGUUGAUAGUGGGCCCCCUGAGGUUGAGUGGGUGGUUGGUUGAAUAGUAUAAUCUAACGGGUGAAAAUGAUUAAAGGGUAGAUCCAACGGGCAAAAACUUAUGAGUACAAGAGGCUCUAUACUCAUAAAAGUAUAGUAGUCGGACUAUAUAUAUAUAUAGUAGAGCUAUUAUGCUAUUGGAAGCAUGGAGGAUCUGGUGCUUUCGAUUUUUUGGCUCUUAUAUCAACCUCUUUGAUCAUUUCUAUCAUUUGAAUUAAAAUUAUUGUUGUGAGGACUACUCAAUCCUAGGGAGGGCUGUAAUCAUUCUAACCGUACAAUUCUUGAUCUAAUGAUCAAAAAAUCGGAAACAUAAAAUCUUUUAUACUUCCAAUAUAUAUAUAUAGAGAGAGAGUUGAGUUAGAAUACUCUCAGAAGCACAAAGGGGGUAGUACUUUUGAGUUUUUAGCCUUUGGAUUGAGAGAUGUAGGGUUGGGAUGAUGAUGGUAGGUGGUAGGUAGUGGUAGGUGGAAUAGUGUUUGAUUCAAGGGCUAUUAGUAAUCAAGGAGUAGAUCCAAGAGGUAGAAACUUAGAAGCACCAAGAGAUUGAUGCUUCUAAAAGUGCUCUAGCUCAAUUCUAUAUAUGUGUGUGUGUGUGUGUGUGUGUGUGUGUGUGUGUGUGAGGCUACUAUGCUUUUGGAAGCACAGAUCCUUCAGUACUUCCAGGUCAUUUUCGAUGUGUGUGUGUGUGUGUGUGUGUGUGUGUGUGUGAGAGGCUACUAUGCUUUUCGAAGCACAGAGCCUUCCNUGGGUGGUUGGUUGAAUAGUAUAAUCUAAUGGUUAAAAAUGAUCCGAGAAGUAGAUCUAAUGGUAAAAAACUUACAAGCACCAAGUGCUUGGUGCGUUUACAAGCACCAUAGCUGGACUCUACACACACACACACACACACACACACACUCUCAAAGAGGGAGGGAAGAGUGGCCAAUUCAAACUCAAGUGGAGAAGAGGAAAAUAAGCCAAUUCAAACUCAAGUGGCCAAUUGUAUAUAUAUAUAUAUAUAGAAAGUGGAGCUGAAAUACUAUUGAUAGUAUGAGAAUAGAAUUUUCUAUGAACUUUUUGACCACUAGAUACAUAGGGUUUCGUGGGGGUUGGUGGAAUACUGUUUAUAUACUAUUAAUAGUAUACUAGCUCAACCCUCUUUCUCUAUAUGUAUAGUAGGACUACUGUACUAUUAUGAGUAUAGGAUCUUUCGUACUCAUAAGUCAUUUUCGAUGAUAGAUCUUCCGAAUUGAUGAUUCAUACCGUUAAACAUGAUCUAGAGCAUUUGAAAUUUCUAGAAACCAAAUUUCAUAAUUUUUUAAAAUUAUAAUAAAGUCCAUCAAACAUAAAAAUGAAUAGGUCAAAAUCAAACGACUUCCUAAAAUUAGAGGAUUGAAGUUUUCAAUUUAAGAUCGGAGUUAUUGAUCUUUAUCUAGAUAAUGAAUAGAACAUUUUAUCAAAAGUUUAACCAAUUUCGAUUCUUUUAACUGUUAACUAGCAACUAUCUCAUAUCGGCCGUUAAAAGUUAUCAACAUUGAGAUAUUUUGAUCAUAUGCAAAUGAUAUCGAAAAAUUAUAAAAUUUGGUUUCUAGAAGUUUAAAUGCUCUAGAUAAUGUUUAACGGUAUUUAUUGUUCAUUCGAAAGUUCUAUCAUCGAAAACGACUUAUAUUCGAAAGUUCUAUCAUUUUUUAGACCUUUUGAUCGCUUAGUAAAUGAUGUCAAAAAAUUAUAAAUUUGGUUUCUAGGUAGUUCCAAUAGGGUAGAUUAUACUUAAUGGAGCCGAUCGUCGAAUCGGAUGUUCUACCAUCGAAAACAACUUACAAGUACGGAGGUCUCCGUACUUUCAAAAGUACAGGAGACGUACUCUAUAUAUAUAUAUAUAUAAAUAUAUAUAUAUAGAAUUAUGCUACUAUACUAUCAAUAGUACCAAGCCCUUGGUACUAUUGAGUUUUCGGCCGUUGGAUAAAAGGAUGUGUGGUUAGGAUGAUAGUGGUCCCCGGUUAAAUUAAUAGUGGUCCCCUAGGGUUGAGUGAGUGGUUUGUUUAAUAUUAUAAUCUAACGGGUGGAAAUGAUCAAAAGGUAGAUCUAACGGUAGAAAACUCAAUAGUACCAAGGGCUUGAUACUAUCAAUAGUAUAGUAGCCGGACUCUAUAUAUAUAUAUAUAUAUAUAGAGUGAGGCUACUAUGCUUCUGGAAGCUACUAUGCUUCUGGAAGUACGGACUACGGAGCCUUCCGUGCUUUCAGGUCAUUUUUCAUGUUGCGACUUUCGAAUCGUCGAUCGGCUCCGUUAAACUUGAUCUAGAGUAUUUGAAGUAUCUAGAAAAUAAAUUUUGUAAUUUUUCGAUAUCAUUUGCCGAGUGAACUAAGGGGCUCAAAAUCAACGGCUGAAAAUAAAAAUCUUACAAAACGUGAUAAUAUGACAUUAAAAUUUUAGAUCAAAGAUAUUGAUCUUGUUUUAUAUAGUAUAAAGAAUUUUCUAUCAAAAUUUCAUGUGAUUUGGAUAUUUCUACACCAUUAAACUUGCAAACGGCUCACCACGGCCUUUAAAAUUAUUGAUUUUGAGCCCCUUCGAUCACUAGACAAAUGGUAUCGAAAAAUCAUAAAAUUUAUUUUUCAAGUACUUCAAAUACUCUAGAUCAAGUUUAACGGAGCCGAUCGACGAUUUGAAAGUCGCAAUAUCGGAAACGACCUGGAAGCAUGGAAGGCUCCGUGCUUCCAGACCCGUGCUCCGUGCUUCCAGAAGCAUAGUAGCUUCACUCUCUCUCUCUCUCUCUCUCUCUCUCUCUCUAUAUAUAUAUAUAUAUAGGAAAGAAGUUCUUUUCUGGACGAUUAAACUCUCAACAAAUUUGUCCUCUUUUUUGAAGCCAACGCCCCACUUUUUAUAGCCAUCUAAUUUAGCUUUUUUUUUUUUUUUAACUGCUGAAAUUUUCCAUUAAAAUCCCAAUGAACUUUCUGGUUUGAAUCUGAACCUCAAACUUCAGUUUGUUGCUAAUAUCUCUCACUAGUUUGUUGCUCAAUCCUCUCCCAUUUGAAUUUCAAAAUUCAAGUUUCGGUUCAGGUUUAGAAAGAGUUCAGUUUAAGUGUGUUUUUGGUUUGGUUAAGCUCAACUUAUUCAAUU
rnacentral:lncRNA from 1 species